UUGGAGGGCAAGUCUGGUGCCAGCAGCCGCGGUAAUUCCAGCUCCAAUAGCGUAUAUUAAAGUCGUUGCAGUUAAAAAGCUCGUAGUUGAAUUUCGGGAUUGACGUGAUGGUCAUGCCUUAAGGGGUAUGAACUGUCACUGUUGAUUUCUCACCUUCUGGAGAAACUUGAUGUCCUUUAUUGGGUGUCUUGCGGAUCCAGGACCUUUACCUUGAAAAAAUUAGAGUGUUUAAAGCAGGCAUUUUUGCUCGAAUACAUUAGCAUGGAAUAAUAGAAUAGGACGGCAUGGUUCUAUUUUGUUGGUUUCUAGGACCACCGUAAUGAUUAAUAGGGAUAGUUGGGGGCAUUAGUAUUCAAUUGUCAGAGGUGAAAUUCUUGGAUUUAUUGAAGACUAACUACUGCGAAAGCAUUUGCCAAGGAUGUUUUCAUUAAUCAAGAACGAAAAGUUAGGGGAUCGAAGACGAUCAGAUACCGUCGUAGUCUUAACCAUAAACUAUGCCGACUAGGAAUCAGACGAUGUUAAUUUUUUAAUGACUCGUUUGGCACCUUACGGGAAACCAAAGUGUUUGGGUUC
rnacentral:rRNA from 1 species